rnacentral:lncRNA from 1 species
UUUUGGAGAAGCGUGUUCUGUUGGUCCCAAUCCCCUAGGAAUAUGAGAGUAAGAGGAUUGUUGCAUUCCACUCCCAAAGUCACUGUUCAUGUGGGAAGAAUGUUGCAUUCCACUCGCAUAGCCACCAUUCAUGUGGGAGCUAGAAUGCUGCAUUCCAGUCCCAUAGGCACCAUUCAUGUGGGAACUAGAAUGAUGCAUUCCACUCGCAUAGCCACCAUUCAUGCGGGAGCUAGAGUGCUGCAUUCCGCUCCCAUAGCCACCAUCGAUGUGGGAACUAGAGUGCUGCAUUCCACUCCCAUAGUCACUAUUAUCGCUGGAAAAGUUUGAGGAAUCAUGGGACAUGUGCCCAUAUUGGCCAUGGCUAUUGUGGUGACCAUAGCCCGUUUGGUACUUGUCCUUGUUGUACCAGCUAUCAUCGUCAUGGCUAUAGCCGCCUUGGCUCAUCAUCAUGUGAUGUUGGGUGCGCUGAGGAGUGGUUACGCUGGGAUAACCAUAAGGCUUUGUCAUUUGCAUGCUUGAGCCGUAGUUGCUGUUAUAUUUGUCCUCAGAGGAGUAGAAGUCGUUCCCGUUAUAGUAGCUUUGUUGCUGCUUGAAGCCAGGAGCAGGAUAGCUUUCAGUUUGGAGAACCAUUUUGGAUUGUCUAAAGAAGAGGAGUCGUACUAAAAUAUUGAGCUAUUUGCUUGUAUAAAUGGUCUGUAGAGUUGAUCAGAUUUAUAGGGCUAUGGCAAGAGGAUUUUCGGAUUCCAAUCAGAUAAGUGAGGAUCUUAUUCCUCUUAUUGAGGUUCUGAAAUGGCGCACAUUUAGUGGUGGUCGUCUCUAACACUUGGGCAUUCAAAAAUGCUCCCGACUUUAUCCCCAAACACCAACUUGCAUAUGGAAUCAGAUUUGCACACCACCUUGCAUUUGGAAUCAGAUUUGCUAUUUACAUCACUUAUAAACUUCCCCCGCAAUAGGCAUAAUACGUUGAAUUUGCGGUUCAGAUUUUUCAUUCUACUUUUAUCUUUUUUUUUUGAGCAAACAGGAAUAAUAUGUAUUAAUAACUAGUUGUUGCGUACAUAGCCUUCAUAGUUUCUGUCACUAAGGACACUUCGAUUUCCUAAGCUUGCUAAGAUAUUACACAUCAUAAGAUAAAGUCUUAAUACAAACAUAGAGUUCCUUUUGGUCACUCUCUACUAGAGAGUCUACAUAACAUGGUGGUAAUACAAAAACUUGCUUUCCUUUCUGCCUUGACUUCUUUGCCAAGUGACGUGCAAUCCUAUUCCCUUGCCUGAAGGUGUGCUGGAGGAUCACCUUCUGUUGGUGCAUGAACAACCUGCAUUUAUCAAUAAUGUUAUUUUAUAAUCUGUUCCUUGAUGUAUUGAAUGAAUCACCUCCGUGGAGUCCGUCUCUAUUUCUAGCGGGAACAUUCCUCAUUCUUGUGUUGUUUUUAGCCCCUCCAUGAGUGCUUUCAUUUCUGCAUAUAGUGAUCAAGUAGCCUGGGUAGUCUUAGCAAAUCCAACUAUCCAAUUCCUACGGGUAUCUCUGAUUAUUCCUCCAAUGCAAGUUUUUUCGUUGUGAUUUUUAAAACAAGCAUCAAUAUUUAGUUUAAACCACCCUCUAGAUGGCUUGUUCCAUUUAAUCUUAAUGGGGAUUUUGGUACAUGUGCUAGGACAUUUUCCAGUGAGAAGAAUAAAUUCAAUUGCUUUUUGGAUGACAUGAUUAAUAUUAAUAGGAAAGUCCGUGUUGUUUUGAUUGUUAUUAUUUCUAUUGAUCCAAAUAUAUUAAAUGACAAAAGGGAAGAAGUAAUUCCAGUUUAGAAGGUAUUUGUGAGGGUGAAAUCUAAGCUUUUUAUCUUUAUGAGAGAAUAUAUAUGGAUAUAUUGCUUGAGAAGACUUACCCAAUCAUACCGUUAAGGAAUCUCAUAACUCUGAUUAGUCGGCAUUUAGUAGAAACUAGUUAUUUGUUAGUGCUUCACGCAGUCAUAAAAUAUGAUAGCGAAUUUAAUAUACGAUUUAGUAGUUAAUUUGGACAAGAUAUAAGUGUUGACGACUAAUUUUGACUCUUCCUUUAAAAAUUAAAUUAUUUAUACUUGAUGUAUUGCAAUAAAUGUGGUUACCAUGUUUUCUAAUCAAUAAUACCUAUUUUCAUAUAAAUAUAAUAGGAAAUUAGUAAUUAAUAGUGUUAAACUAAUAAUUUAUUAUUAAAUACUUAUAAAAUAUAUUACCCUUACUAUUUUAAAAUUAUUAAAACAACCUCUAUAUUUUGAUACAAAAGUUUUAUAAUUAAUUUAAUAAAUUAAUCUUUGAUUUUUAAUUACAUCGCUCAUUAUUUAAAUCAAUCAAAAUUAAAUUUCAUAAUUUGGUAAAUAAAGUAUAUUAAUAAAUAAUGAAUUAAUUACAGUAAUUUAUAGUGAAUUUGAUGAUUAUAUUUUUAUCAUAUUCAAUUAGAAUUAAUUAAGCUUAAUUAAGUUAAUUUUAAAGGAAUUAAAAGAUUAAAAGGCUACAAUUGCAAAGCCUAAUGAAACACAAUGUUGCUAUGUGUUAAAUCAAUUCAUCCCAAAAACAGAGGCCCAAUUGCUCAACCUGAUCUGGAACUAUCCCCUCCCAUCCACCUUGGCAAUUCAUGCCAACUCUUGAGAGUCAAUGUAAUCAUGCCACGUUAUCUGCACCCUCCACUCUCAAAACAAACAUAAGUGAUAUGGGCCGUCAAUCCAAAUCAUCGACGAUCCAAAUUUAUUCCCACUUUUUCCUUUAUUUUAAACCUCUCAUCAAAUUUUAUCCUAACCGUUGGAUCACACGGAUUUAACGGCCCACGUUUUUUCCCCAUUAACCAGUUUACUGGGUUUUAUAUCUGGAAUUAUCACCGUCAUUGUUCAAAUGAUCUAACGGCCUACGAUUCAUAUUUCACUUUAUACCUUAGAGACCAACCAAGUGACCCCUAAUCCUAAUCAUUUCUCACAUUGAACGGCCGCCUCUCUUUCCUCCUUUCCUCUCUAUUCUCUCAACCUCUCAUCUCCCAUCAUUCUUCAAUCCUUACAGAAAUUGACGCAAGGUCACGAAUUCGAACUUUACAACACUGAAUCUGCCUCCUAUAUGCACGAAUCUCGCUUGAUUCUUUCACCUUUCAUCACUACACCUCAAAUCCCCAAAUCUGAAAUCCUAGACCUAAAAUACAAAACUUCAAUUUGUUUGAUUUUCUCUUCCGUUCUUUCAAAUCAAAGAAUGCAUAGUUGUAUCUUCAGCUUCAUCAUCGUGAUUCUUUCUCCAGAGAUCAAACAUAGUGGCCUCUAGAUAUCGGGGUUUGACCACUGGGUUGUAGACUUCAAUGGCCGACUUCCUUCCUCUUAAGUAAAAUCCAUCACUGAUUUCCCCUUCAUUCCUCCUAAUUUCACCUAUCAUUUAGCGUCAGCAUUCACUGCCUGUUCGAACUAAUUUGAAUUCCUAAGGCUUCAACAUCCACUAUAAAUAUGAACUUUCAAUGCUCUCAACUAACAUGACUUGACAAAGGCGAAUAUACCUAACACUAUCAGUUAAAACAUUGAAAGAUUUCAAAAUUUUAAGGCUUUUCGGUUAAGUCUUGAAGGUCCAAUAGCUUUCUCUUAACUUUCUUUUCUUCCUUUCAUUUUUGCUCGAGUUGGGUUGUUGUACAUGAUUAAUUGGGGUUUGGACUCCCAAACGGUUAAACAAAAAGCUCUUGUUUGGUUUGCUGCCCUGCAGAAGGUCAAUGUACACUGAUUCUCUCUCCUCCUCUUUCUUUAAUUAAUUGUAUUGCUUCGUGUAUAUGAUGUCUUCUCUGAUAAUUAGCUCUCAUUUGUAAUGCAUAUCAGUAUCUCAUGUUCGUGUUUAUUAUAUCCUGCCUUCACAUGUCAUUCUUGCUGAUUGAAUAAAUUAUCUCCUGAAUGGUUAUGAUUGUGUUAAUGUUGUUGGCCAAAUUGUUGUUGUUAAUGAACUUCUUUUCCUAUGAUUUAGAUAAAUAAUAAAUGCCUUCUUGAUUACUGAUCCUGUUAAAUAUCUUUAUAAUGAAUUGAACUAGGCCUAAGCUAAUGUUAUGCAUACUCUAUCAGUUGAAUAAUGAUUGUACUGUUAUGUUUGGACAACUAAAUUGAACUAUGCCUUUUAGACCUUGUUUAAUGUCAUUUUAAGAGCUCAUCUGCUGCACCAUGCCAUAUGGAUCCUUAUGUUUGUAAUGUUAUGCCAUGCUAUGGAUCAAAUAAAAGUUAUUUUCAUUAUAGUUCAUAUUAUGUCUUUGACUCGUUUACAAUGACUGAACAAUUUAUUAUUGAAACCAUGUAUGAUGUGCACACAUAAGGAUUCAUGCAAAUCUGUUAUUAUAACCUAAACUCAUGUAAUGAGUUCAUCAGUUUAGUUGUCAUGCAAUCUGCUCAUCUGAUCUUGUAAGUGAUCCUUAAUGACUUCUAUAUGAAAGAUUUCUAUACUUGGUUAAGUGAUCCUUGAUGAUUUCUAUACUUGUGUUUACACCUUGAUGCUCAUGUACCUUUUACCUGCUUGUCAUGUAAUAAAGCUUCAUGAAUAAACUACCAAGUGCUUUAUUUGAAAACGAUUUUGUCAAAUAAGAAAAUUGAAUCUUGUCUGCCCUAAUAACUUAGUAGCCUGAGCUAUACAGAAUUUGAAAUGGGGAGUUUACUGCUGUCAUUAAUAAGCUUGAGCAAACUCAAUAAUACUUGCUUCUCUUGCUGAAAUGAACACUGCCCCAUGUCUGGGUCAUAUCCGUGUCUCUAUGACGUAAUCAUGAAUUUUGAAGUAACCUAAUAGACUAGAUGUCCUGAUAUUAAGUUUGAAUUAGAUCAAAACUUAUUCGUCUAGCCUACUUUGAUGUCUCUGAUGUUGUUAUUAUCGUUAGGAAGCUAAUACUAGUUAAUAUAAGUGUUUAGUAGAAUAAAUACUCAAUCAUGUGUGUAUGUUUACUUCUGACAGUUCUUAAGGUCACUAAAACACUGUUGAAGUACUGUGAACCUAGUUGAGGUUCCUUGAAAUACUGAACUUUUAGCAGAACUAAUGAGAUUAAUUUGCAAGUCUUUCCAAUCAUUUUGAUCACUUAAUUUAGCAUUUCUAAACUAGAGAUGAUUUGUUAAUAAAUUCCACUUACUCCUUCUGUUCUUACAUCAGUAUGGUAGUUUUUCUUUAAUUGUUCUGAUACAUGCUAUAAAUGGUCAUUGAUACUCUAAGUACUUGUAGUAGUUUGCCUACUUGUGUUUGAGUUCUGAUUCUAAGGUUAAUGAUGUAAUGAUAAUGUUUCUGUGGAAAUUCUUGUCUGAACCUUUAUAUCUACAACUGCUCUCAUGUUAAUUGCUAAAGUGAAUACCUCAUUUGUAUCUAAACCUUUGGGGAAGAGUAACUAUAUAUGGUUAAGGGUAUUUGGAGUGGAACCUGUGCCCUUCCCUGGCACAAACACUGCUCGGUGUUUAUGAGAUCCUUAUGAACUCUAAUGUGCCGGGGAUUCAAAGGGUAUUUUGCCAUGGAUAAGGUUUUGCUUUAAGCCUCUAAUCACUGACUAUUAUUGAUCCUUUUAGGAUUAAUACAAAUGAAAAUAGUUUCACUUUAUUCUUUAAUAUUGUUUACUCAUUGUUAUUUUGUUUUGUUGUGCCUCAUAUUGGUUUUAAUAAUUAUUUUUAUUUAUCUCUUUGGGUGCAUGUUUGAACUGGGGCUACCGGGUUCUUUAGAACUCAGGUCCAAGUUCAAGUCUAGUUUUCCUUUCCUGCUUUAUGAAGUCUGCUUCUGCUUUAGACCUGCAGGGCUUGGUCCACUGGCCCUAUAACAAAUAAUCUAGUUUCCUUUUCUCUUCUCACUUUUAGACAAUAAAAUUUCUGCUUAUUGUGUGUAUAUAUCUUUGGUACUAAUACUAUAAUUGGAUACUUCUGUUAUAUAUUGAUUAUUUUAGGAACCAAGGAAAAGUAAGGCCUAUAGGUAAAUAAAAAGAAUCUGAGUUUAUAUCAUAUUCGCUGAAAUACGUCAAUGUGUACUUACUUGUCUUGUUUGAACUGGAGAUGUUUGUUUAUAUGUUCCUUUAAUUGUGCUUAACUUUUAAAAUAUGUGCUUACUUGUCUUACUUGUUUAUAUCUCUAUAACUCGUUAAACAUGUACUUAUUUGCAUGCUUUUAAUGUUGUUACUACCAUCACAAUUAUCUGUUACUACAUUAUACACCGUCACCACGUUCUUUUCUAUCGACUCUUGGCCUUACACAAUCAAUACACGAUGAUUGUCUUUUAUACCCCUCCGAACCUUCUUUCAAAUUUCUCUAGUUUCAGAGAACAACUUUGGCAGGUCAAUUGACAUAAUGUUUCACAGUGUUCAGUCCAACUCUAAAAUUAGGAAACAAUCUACUGUAGCAAAUAUAGUUCAUGCUGCAUAAACCUUAGGUGAGUCGGUCCUUGGCAUUGACUCAUAAUUAGGAAACCCAACUUAAUAUUAACGGGGUUAUGUACCCAACGACAUGCCUUUUGUGGAACAACGAAUCAAUCCUGUUGAGAUGCUAAAUAUCCAUAUCAAACACUUUCCAAACCUUUUUACCUUUAUAGAUGGAAAACAACUACAACAUACUCGAAAUUAACAUAGUCAUGGAUGCACCACACAAGCUUAACCAGUGGUGGAGAAACAUUCACCGGGAGCAUGGGGUUGAGAUCAGAACACACUUGGGAGCAUUGGCCGCUAUGAUGAAUAUUUUAGCUGACAAGGUCCUUAAAAGAUUGCUCAUAGGGUUUUGGGACCCAGAUAAGGUGUUUUCAAGUUCGUCGAUUGUGAAUUGUCACUACAUGUUGUUAUGACCGACUACAUGUUCCUUCAUGCAUUGGGUCUAACAAACAAUAGGAAUUUGAGAAACUUUGAAGGUGGAUGGGUGAGCUUAGACUAGAUGUUAGAAAGAUUCGGACACCGGGAAAGUUACGAGUGGCAUCUUGAGAAGUUUCAAUGAGAUCAAGAAACAUGAUAGAGUCUCUCUAUUAUUGGGAUUGCUGGUCUUCCCGCAAAGAAAGGGACAAAUCAACAUCAACUUGUUGCCCAUGAUUUUGGCAUCCUUGUGAGGGAAUCUAAUGAUAUUAGCAGAUACAUUCCAAUCAUUGUCAGCAUGCUCCAGAGGAUAUGAAUUUUUAAAAGGUUGCAACCUACUACUCCAUAUUUGGGCCACUGAACAUUUCUUUUAGAGGGAGGCAACCGUCGAAUAUUUUGUAGGCAUUAGUAACAUUAUCAAGGCCCAUAAUAAAAGGAUGAGGCACUGGGUUACACCGCACCGACAAUAGGAGUGGCGUGACAUGUUGACCUAUUUGAGUGGAGAAUUUGUGAACUGGAUGCUUUCAUGGUUAAGUAGCAGGGAAACUAUGUGGAGCCACAUAAAAUACUUCAUUGAGUUAGUGGGACUUGAAGGAAUCCAGCCAUCUGUACCUCUGUGCGUUCUAAGGCAAUUUUGCCUGAUCUAAGACGUACCCUUCUGGUCAAGGACAACUUUAUAUGAAGACGAUUAAAAUGGUAAAUUCCAAUCCCGAGGGUGAGGAGACAUCAAGAUGAAUGGAACGACUUGAUCAUGAGGCCGAUGAGUCAGAAUUCCUUGUAUACGCCUGAAUACUUCGUGUGGAUCAACAAGGAGGAUGAGUUGGCCAGACCUAGUAAAGAAGGGUUGACCAGACUAGAGGAUUUAGUAGUAGCUCUGCAUUUAUAUCAUGAGAUCAUGCCUCACUAUCUUGUCACUACCGCCAUGCAUCGACAAUUGGUACCAGGGACGGUCAACCAUAUUUUAUCGCCAAAUGAGGACGAUGAUCGGGUGAUUGAGUACAUAUAAAUUGUGUCAAAACAGAGCUAGAAGAGGAUCCUAAGGAAGAGCCUGAGUACAACAAUGAUGUGGAGGAAGAAGAAGUCGAAGAGGACCCUAAGGAGGAGCCUGAAGAAGAAAACUUGGGAGGUGACUCUGAGGAUGAUUAUUAAGUGGCUGGUUGAUUUCCCAUUAUCUUUUACCCCUUUUUCAUUUCCCUAAGGGCGAACAAUUGAGCCCACAAUGUUGUAACCACCGCUCCCAUCUCUUGUUAUCCAAAAGUCUAUCAAUGAAAACUAAAGUUUGCUCGGGAUAUGUGCCUAAAUAUUAUUGUUUGUAAAAUAUUUGUGACAUGAGAACCUCCCGCAAAGAGAGCUCCUUCUUCUCUUAGGAAACACAGUUAUCUGAAUACGUGAACUAAUUGCUCUAUGUGCUUAUAUUUGUGUAAACUCUGAGACUAACUUAUACUUUCCCUUAUUUUAUCGCUUUGUUACUUUAAUUUUACCCCAAAAAUAGAGGUUGGUUUGUGUUCAUACGUAACACUGUCUAAGCUACCGUACAAUCUGAGAUCUAAGAGAAAGAUGUCUGCAACUGACGACCCAACAAGAAACGCUUUAUUAAUAGCCAACAACCCAGGGCAAUAGGAGGAAAAGGAUGAUAUCCGAAAUGAUAGCACACUACUAGGAUGGAGAAAGAAAUGGAAUCACUAAAAGAGGAAGUACAACAUAUCUAGGAGAUGCCACAUUUGGCCAUGGCGAUGCUUCUGCAACCACCCCAUUUCCCUUCCUUUGAUUCCAUCGCUGACAAUUUACCUCCAACCAUUCAAUAAAUAGCCAGUAUCCCAACCUUUGUCACCUCAAAUCCCACAACCCAAUUUAUUCCACAUGUAAAUCCUACAAAUCGGCCAAACCCCCUAUACAUACACCUUAUAUCCCAAACUAUUUCAAAACACAACACAAUCCACCAGUCCCUACAAAUUUAGUUCAUACCUCUCCUCAUGACAACAUCACUUUUACCUACAAUCAGACCUAGCACAUACUUGCGGCACACAUUUCCAUCCCUGAGUGAUAUGUUCCACAUGUAUAUGCCGCCUCUAAACCUGCCUUCAUCGCGCCCGUCACAUCCAGAGUGUAAUACGAGAUUGAUCAAUAUGCUGAGAUGGAGAAAGAAUCAAGGUACAGUGAAGAGGAGUCAGUGUUAGAAUAGUUGCGAGUAUUGAGAAAGUAGAUGAAGAAUCUCCAAGUUGCAUGAGGGAGCGAGAGCCUAGAUUAUGAAGAGUUGUGUAUACAUAUCGAUGUUGACAUUACCGCAAGGUAUAAGCCUCCAAAGUUUGACAUCUUUGAUGGAAUGGGUGAUCCCCACCAUGUGCAUUUGAGGGCCUACUGUGACAAGUUGCUCGGGGUAGGAAGAAAUGAGAAGUUGAGAGUGAAGUUAUUUAUAAGGAGUCUGACAUGAGAAGCAGUUACUUGGUAUACCCGACAAGACCCUAGGAAUUGGAGAGAAUGGCAAGACAUGGCUGAGGAUUUUAUAAAAAUUUCAGGUUUAAUACCGAGAUCACUAUAGACAGGUUCAUUCUAGUAAAUUUUCUUAUGAAACCCUCAGAAUUGUUUCAAGAGAACGCUCGCCGUUGGAGAUCGGAAGCUCCCAGGACCCAACCUCCGCUGGACGAUAAUGAGCUAACCAAGUAUUUUAUCAGGGCCCAAGAGGAGAUUUAUUUUGAAAAGAUGAUGGGUAUGAUAUGUCAGUAGUUUCCCGAGCUGUUCAAGAUAGGAGAAUUUUGGGAAGAAAGAAUUAAGUCAGGCAAAUCAAUGGCUGAGCUGCAAGCUGCCAGUAAGGCAAGACAAUCAAUCUCCAUAGGUAGUGCGAAGAAGAAGAAGAAGAAGGAGGAAGUAAUAGCAAUUGUCCCCUACUAUCAGUCUAGUCCUCCUCGUAGAACAAACUCCUACCCCAUAAACACCCAUCCUUUUAAUCAACCCACCUACACUAUAGUAUGUAACUCCCGACCAUACUACAAUGCUCAACCUCAAUACAAUCCACUUCAAGACCAUAUAAAUCCAAACCCACCACGACCAUAUGCCUACACCACGGCCACACCCAAAUUUUGAAGAAAGAAAUCCCAGAAACUACACUCUAAUUGAUGAACCCUUAGCCCAUUCCUUGAGAGGUUGAGGAGAGACAGAUUGAUAUAUCUAGUGGAAAAGAUAAUUCCCGAUAAACCCUCCAAAUAUUUUGAUACCAAACAUUGUGCCUACCAUUCGGGUGUUCAUGCACAUGAUACUGAGGACUGCUAUAGAAUAAAGAAUGAGAUCGAGCUGCAUAUCAAAAGUGGAGCCAUCCAAUGUACCUCGGCUCCACCAAAUGUAAACUGUAACCCACUGCUGAACUAUAGAAAUCAGAGAGACAAACAUGAUCGCAUUGGAUGAGGAUUAUGAUUUUAAGGGGACCAUUGUCGCUAUUGGCAAUACCAAAGUUGCAAGAGUUAUACCCCAAAAGACUCCAUUUAUUACUGUAUAUUUGAAACCUCCUGUGAUUGCACAAACAUACCAACAAAGGUCUACUUUUGCUGUUAGAAAUUAGUAGAGUCGAGACUAGAAAAUAGUGCCAUUGACUUACCAGUCAAAAGGAUAGGGUAAAAUGAUAGACUCCGUAGUUGCUCGCAGGAUGACCAGAUCAGGGACGUGUUACACCACAAAAUAAGUAAACCAAGGGAACCCGAGUAGAGAACAAAAUCAAAUAAGAAAUAUAAUAGAUGCUAAGGCAGCAGAAUAUUUGAGGAAAAAGCUAGUUAAACAGUAUUCCAUGGAAGAAUAGUUGAGGAAUAACCUUUUUCACAUAUCUGAUCAUGGAUUUUUUGAUGAGAUCUGAUGGUCAUGGGAUGCUUUGGUGAAGGUUCUAAGCUGAGUAAAUGAACCAAGGAAUACUACUAGUGAGGCAUUUGCAGCUGACAACAACCAUUGGAAAGAUGGUCGAAGCAAACAAGAUUUCCUUUCGGAGAGAUGUACUUACUGUAGAGGGUAUGGAUCAAAAUAGAGCUCUACAUAUCACAGUCAAGUAUGGGGAUAAAGUCGUGUCUUGAGUGCUUGUCGACGGAAGAUCCGGAGCAAACAUUUUUUCGUUCUCUACUCUACAAGAAUUUGGUAUUCUUCUGAGGAAAGUAAAGGAAAGCCAUGUAAGAGUUAGAGCUUUUUAUGGGUCACAAAAAGAUGUCAUCAGAUAUAUUUACUUAGCCUUACAGAUUGGACCAACUGGGUUCCUAAUAUUGUUUAAAUUUAUGGACAUUCUUCUUCGUGCAACGUGUUGCUGGUGAGGCUGUGGAUAUAUAUGGUAGGGGCAGUUCCUUCAACACUCCAGCUGUGUAUGAAGUUUGAGUGGGAUUUCUAAUAGAUUCUGAUACAUGUGGAGUGGAGCCGGUCAGCUUACUUGUAGCAUUCAAUACCUUUCAUAUAAGGAUUAUAUGGGGUCGGCUUUCAUGUAGUAGGGAUCAUGCAAGCAACAGAAUGGAGGAAAGUGAGCAGAACCAUGGUAUGCAACCACUAUACAGGUCGAAGAUGGCAAUGAGGGAGAUGGUGAAGUAUGGGUACCAACUAGGGACUGGGUUGGGAGCCCCAUAAAAUGGGAUAACAAAGCCAAUUAAAGCAAAAGGGUACCUCUGGCUUAGGGUGUCAACCUACAGUUGGAAAGCCUUAUACUGGUAACCCUCGGAAAAAGGUUUUUAUUACACCCCAUAUUUUUGUAUGUGAGAGUAUGUCGUAAGUCAAUUGAUGUCAGCUCAAAAAUGAGAUCAUCUUUGAAAGUGCAUAAAGUAAGUUAAUCAUGUUACCUUGGAGGUUUCAAAUAUUUAAGAUCAUGAAUAACAAGUACCAAGAGGGUUAGAAAGUUUAGACUCUAAACGACUUGAAGAAAAUAUUUUUCGUCGAAAGUCGACAAGUUUGAAAUGUUAUAACAUGUACUUUUGGGGUGAGAAUAAGGUGCUUAACAUUAAAAGGAGGUUAUGUUUUGAGUUAUUUUAAUCAUAUGAUAGUCUUGUGUUACAUUUUGACAUCAAACGAGUUGUGGAACAAAAGUUGGCAAAGGUCAUCAUAAGUUACAUUCAUAAUGUGCUGAAAAUAGGUCAAAUGUAGCUGAAAUGUUCUCUCAAUAUAUUUGAAAUUAAGGGAUGAUCUGCAUAUCAAAUUGAAUAUCUACGAGUCUAGUUUUUAACGCAUUAAACCAUUUGUUUAUACAACAUUGGAAUAGAGAGAUAUUCGUAUUUUUGCCAGACCGCGCAAGCAGUUCCUAAUGGGACCCACUUACUUGGUGGUCGACCUACUUCACUUUAUAAAUGAUUUGGACGCCUAUUUUUUGCUCAUUAUUUAUUCAAAUUCGUCUCCAAACGUCUCUUAAUCCUCCUAAAUAGAUACCAUGUGGGUUUGAAGUGAUUACACCAUAUUUCAACAUCAAAAGUUAGUUCUAGUUAAGAACAACACCUCUUUGAGGUUGUGUUGUCAUUGAGGAUAGUUGUGGGCUGUGUUUGGCUGAAAUUUAAAGUGGUUUCUGCUGGUUUACGUAUGUAUAAUACUCUACUACAUUUUAUUGAAGUUUUUUGUAUGUUGGUUGCAUUAUUUGAGCAAGAUACUACAAGAGAAGACUUGAAAUAGUUUGAUAUGUUAUUGUUCUUAAUGGACUGCUUUAAGAGUGUUGUUUUCAUGAAAUUUAAAUGGUUGGAGACCUUAGAAAAUGACAUGUUUAUGCUUUUAUUUUCAUGAAUAUAUUGUCUACAUGACAAACUUGCUAUUGGUAUUGUGAAUAAGAAGAUAAAGGACAAUAUAAUAAUGGAAAGCUAUACUUGUUGUUAUUGUUGGGUUGUUUGAGUAUGGAUUAGGUGAUUAAUAGGAGGUUGGAAGUCCUCUGAUGUUACUUGGUAUCAUGCUCGAUAUGUUUUUAAGUUAACUAAUGUAUGAUAAUGGGGUUGAAGGGUUCUAAAGGGAUUCAACCUGAGCUUACAGCUCGUCAUGAUAUGUUGAAUACUUGUUAAUGAAAUAUUGUGUACCCUAUUGUUGAUGUUAUUCUUAUUGUAUUGCUCUGGUUGUUGUUGUUGGUAUAUGGUAUUGGAUAAUGCCCUUGUUAUAGGGUAGAUGCUGCCCAAAUUUACGUAAAUGAACUACUAUCUUAAGUUGCGAACUUAGCCUUUACUCGACAUAUAUUUUGAAUCUCCUUAUGCUAUGGUAGAUUUAGCUAAGUUGUUUGAAGAUUUUCUUGGAAGGUAUGAAUGACUCAAUGGGGUUAUGGUAUGUUAAGGCUAUCCCUUCUUUCCUUUUGGCAUGAUCCAUAUGACAAACGAAACGAGCAAAUGCAGAACUUUCCCAAAUGACUCUAUUCUUAUAAGUACUAGGGGUGCAUAUAUUUUUGAUUCCCCAUGUGUCUUAUUAUUAUAUCGUCUAUUCAGAGAUCCUAGAAAAUACAUAAGUUGAUAAAGUUUAUUUCGUGAUAUAACCGAUGACAUAUUUAUCUUAUGACAUCCCGAUAGAUUUUGUUGACUUACUUCUUAUACAUUGCAUUUAUUUAUACAUGUACAUUGACCCAUGACUAGAUGACGUUAUAUACGCAUAUAUUAUUGUUUAUAUUGAAAAUGGUAAUAACGAUUAGAUUUGAUUUUGUGGUUCUAAAAAUAUGUGAUUUAUUUUUAUGCUAGUCGUUAGGCAAUAGAUGCUAAGUGAAAGAUUAGAAAAAAAUAAGAUAAUAACUUGUAGAUAGUAUAAUAACCAAACCGAAUGGCUGGAAAUCGGAGCCUCGAGCUUGCGUAUACGGGACCUCGAUGUCUAGUCAGGUGCCCGACUAAGGAUAGUCGAUGGAGGAUUAACAGUUAUGACAAAUUUGAUGGUCGCUCUUUAUGACCAAUAAAUGAAGAACAAUAAAUAGAACACAAUAAAUAUAAGCAAUAAAUGUAAGUAGUGAGAUCAAGAGAAUAUGUUAAGUACCAUCUCGAGGCUUGUAAUGAUAUCAAUGGCCCUUUAGAGCCUAUCUUCUUCUUGACAGAGGUCCUCAAGAUCAGGUACCAUCUCGAGGCUUGUAAUGAUAUCAAUGGCUCCUUAUAGCCUAUCUUCUUUUUGAUAGAGAUCCUCGAGAUCGGGUACCAUCUCGAGACUUGUAAUGAUAUCAAUGGCUCCUCAGAGCCUAUCUUCUUUUUGACAUAGAUCCUCGAGAUCGAGUACCAUCUCGAGGCUUCUAAUGAUAUCAAUGGCUCCUUAUAGCCUAUCUUUUUCUUGACAGAGGUCCUCGAGAUCGGGUACCAUUUUGAGGCUUGUAAUGAUAUCAAUGGCUCCUUAGAGCCUAUCUUCUUCUUGACAGAGGUCCUUGAGAUCG